rnacentral:rRNA from 1 species
UAGGGAAUCUUCCACAAUGGACGCAAGUCUGAUGGAGCAACGCCGCGUGAGUGAAGAAGGUUUUCGGACCGUAAAGCUCUGUUGUUGGUGAAGAAGGAUAGAGGUAGUAACUGGCCUUUAUUUGACGGUAAUCAACCAGAAAGUCACGGCUAACUACGUGCCAGCAGCCGCGGUAAUCGUAGGUGGCAAGCGUUGUCCGGAUUUAUUGGGCGUAAAGCGAGCGCAGGCGGAAGAAUAAGUCUGAUGUGAAAGCCCCUCGGCUUAACCGAGGAAUUGCAUCGGAAACUGUUUUCUUGAGUGCAGAAGAGGAGAGUAGAACUCCAUGUGUAGCGGUGGAAUGCGUAGAUAUAUGGAAGAAUACCAGUGGCGAAGGCGGCUCUCUGGUCUGCAACUGACGCUGAGGCUCGAAAGCAUGGGUAGCGAACAGGAUUAGAUACCCUUGGUAGUCCAUGCCG